rnacentral:lncRNA from 1 species
CAAGCCUCCUGAGACAAGGGGAAAUGCAGGCGCUGGGUGCCCGGGGAAGAGCCAGGGGCAGCGGGGCCGGGGGGGGCACAGCACCCCUGGGUGCAGGGGGAGCAGUGGCGCCUGCCAACGCAAUUAAAUCGCUGUUAAUUGACCCCCACCUGCCCUUCCCUGCCUGCCGAGGGGGGCAAGUGCAUGGACGGGGGGGCUCAGGAGGAGGGAGCAGCGGGAAAGCAGCCCCGAGGUUUUUGGUGUUAUUUCUUCUGGAUUUGGGUGGCGAGAAAUUAAUGAGUUUCCACCCCUGGGCCUCCAGUGGGCAGGCGGAGAAUUAAUUGGGAGGGCGACUUCAUUAAUAUUGAAGAGUGGAUGGAUCCACCAGGAAAGAGGAGGAGAUUUUCAAUUAGGCUGCUUUUCCUUUUCCUUUUUUUUUUUUUUUUGGGGGGGGGGGGUGUUUCACCCCCGAGAGGCCCCACGGGGAGGCCACCAGGGGAUUUCGGGCACUGCACGCCUCCGUUCCCCAGCCUCGCCACGUCGCUGCCACCGGGCUGUUUGGCAGCAGCAGCCGACAAAAUUCAGGCUCCGGCGCUGCUUUUUCCUUCAGGGUGCAUCAAGGGCCCGCAGAGGGCUCAAAGAAAUGAAUUCCCCCCAAGUUUUUAGCAGCUCGGAUGUCGGGGAGGGCGAAAACCCCCAAAUCGGCCUCACCUCCCCCAGGGGCUGUGCUGAGCUCAACCCCAGUACGAGACACCGGAGACUCCCCGUGGGGCGCGGGGAGGAGGGGGUCCACACGUCCUGGGGCCGGAUGGGGCCGCGGGAUUUGGGUUUUCCCAUGGGAAGGGGGCUGCGGAGGAGGACAUCGCUCCCGGCCGAAGCUCGGCGUGCAGGGACCCCAGGUGGCUGCGCAGGCAGAGCUGCCACGGCCGGGCAGGGAGGAGGAGGAGGAGGAGGAGGAUGAAGGCAGUGCUGAAGCCCCUGGGCAUCCCAAACCUGGGACAAAUUAAAGAGGAGGAUGAAGGAGAGGAAGGAGCGGGGAGGGUACGGGGAGGGUACUUCGCCUCCCGUUUGCCCAGGUUGAUGAGGAAAGGCUAAU